AACGAACGCUGGCGGCAUGCCUAACACAUGCAAGUCGAACGAGACCUUCGGAUCUAGUGGCGCACGGGUGCGUAACGCGUGGGAACCUGCCUUUAGGUUCGGAAUAACUCAGAGAAAUUUGAGCUAAUACCGGAUGAUGUCUUCGGACCAAAGAUUUAUCGCCUUUAGAUGGGCCCGCGUUGGAUUAGCUAGUUGGUGGGGUAAAGGCCUACCAAGGCGACGAUCCAUAGCUGGUCUGAGAGGAUGAUCAGCCACACUGGGACUGAGACACGGCCCAGACUCCUACGGGAGGCAGCAGUGGGGAAUAUUGGACAAUGGGCGAAAGCCUGAUCCAGCAAUGCCGCGUGAGUGAUGAAGGCCUUAGGGUUGUAAAGCUCUUUUACCCGAGAUGAUAAUGACAGUAGCGGGAGAAUAAGCUCCGGCUAACUCCGUG
rnacentral:rRNA from 1 species